UUCACUUCCUUCCCGUGCAUGUCCAGCUGAGCUUUGAAAGUUGCUCAGUAGAUUCCACAGAAUCACAAAAUUGUAGGAGCUGGAAAGGACCUCCAGAGAUCAUCAAAAUAAGCUCAGUGUAGCAUGAUUCAUAGCGUACUGUUGAUACCCUGCACCUUCUGCUUAAAAUAAGGACUCCUUCCAAUUAUGAAAAAUAUCAUAUUAAUUGAGCUACAUUUUGCAUGAUUAUUCCCUGGGAAGAUGAGAACUUCUUGCUUCACUGUACCGUAAGAAUUCAUCUGGAACAGAUCCAAUUAGGAGUGACUUUAUGGUUGGUCCAAUGGACACUCACAUAGGAACAGAAAGAAGACUAUAUGCAAGUUUCUCAGGACCUAUGGAACAAAUAAGAGGUUGCAGGUGGAAGUUUCCUGGAUUGCAUCAUUACCAGUGAUGACAUGUGGUGUCACCCCUAAGAGCUGGAGUCAAAACAGUAGUCCAUGAAGUGCCAGCACGUGAAUUCCCAUCAAGAAAAAAAGUACAAGAGUCAACCUCAGCAGGUCCCUCUGGAUGGCUUCCCUUCC
rnacentral:lncRNA from 1 species